GGUGGAGUAAUCCUUGGGAACAAUCACCAGACCACGCCCCUUAUUGAUGUGCUUGUUGCGGAAGAAGAACAUCACCUUCGACGGGUCGUACAGCUCGUACAUGGUGUUGAAGUCGGAAACCUCCGUGGUGUCAACAAGGUAGAUCACCGCAAAGUUCUUUAUGGUAUCAGCCACCCCUGACAGCACCUCAUCCAUCUAAACAUGAACAGGUAGAUAGUCAGAAGCUCCUAAUGAGGUCAACAACAUACAACCAUGCUAGAUUGGUGUAGAACCAAAGCCUAGUAAAAACAAUUACUGCAAUCAAUAACAUAAAACAGCUAAGAUAUGUAAUCCUUUGCACAAAGCAAUAAAAGUUAGUCAUGAAAAAAAAGCACACAUCAGAAGAGGUUUCCCCCAGAAGGGUAGCACAAGGAAUUAUCCAUGAGCAGCAAUAGCAAACCACAUGCAACAUAACCACUGAUAUCCAGACUUACUUGAUUGAUUUAAAACCAAAAAGCCUGAUAAACAGAAGGAUUGAUUUAGAUCAAACUGCAAUCAAUAACAUUUAUAAAAGGACCUCAGAGAAAGAUUGUUUUGCACAACCCAACGAAAGAAGUUGCUGAAUGAAAAAAAAAAACACAAAUCAUUCGAUUUCCUCAGAAUUAUGUGGCGAGGUGCAUGAUAUCAUUAUGCAAUGGCUAGUUCUACUUCAACUUAACCAACGAACCAGCUUCAACUACUCCAAAUAUCUCAGAGUCAGGAAAAUACAGAAUGUGAGUAUUAGCUCAGUAUAAGUUAGAAACUUUAUUUCAAAAAUAAGGAGACAUCCGGAAUUCCUCCACUUAUUCUACAGAUCCAAACUAGCCAACUAUCCUCUCAGGCUAUGAACCUAUGACAAUAAAAAGGUGCUUGCAUGGAUAGUACCUGGGAGCAGCACAACUGCCAAGUUCUAAGACCAUCUGUUCCCAUGAUUCUAAUCGGCCAAGUACCUGUGCUGCACCGAGAUUCCAAAAGACCAGCUCAGAUGUCUGUAUAACGCAUACUGCAACUAAUCCUUACCAGAGGUUACUACCUCAAAAAAAAACAUGAGGGUGAACCGAUAAUAACUCGUGAGAUUUGUCACGGUUCCCACACAAAUCAGCAUGAAAAGUCUAUAUCAGCAUCAACAUAUGGGUGGUGAUAUAGCAGGAUGGUCGGCAAGGCAAAUAAAUGCCCGUUCCGACGAACAAGACCAAAAUAUCAAACUUCACCGUCCUCUAAGGAAUCCAUACAUCUAAACCAUAUUAACGUAGGUGUAAAUGCAAAAAGAAAAAAACUAUUGUUUGAUUCUCCUGAAAAGGGUGAGGAUGAAAAGUCAUCAGAUAGGAGCGAAAAGACUAUUUUUUUUUUCAAGUAAUCACGAUUUGAUCAUAUGAACUAUGCACUUGUAAUCCUCAUUCAACCUGGGCAAACCACUAAAUCAACAGGCAAACCAAAACGAAUUAACAGAAGAAAAAAAAGAAGAAUUCCAGGAAUCAUGAUGCAUGUGAAGGAAGACAGUAGCUGAAUGUAAUCAUUAGUGAUUUCACUGAGAAAGGUUCACACUAAUCAUCAUCGGCAUCACACAACAACAAAACACAGCAAAUAAAACUGCAGAUAAACAAAUGAAAAAGAUUGGCCUCAUAGAGAAUAUUAGAACAUUCCACAUGAAGAGAAUUCAGACAUAUGCUUUCUAUAGUUUAGUUUAACCCUCGGCACAGACAAACAAAAAGACUAAGGAAUCGGAAUAUGCUGGUGAUAUAUAACAGAAUUGUUGGAAAGAAAAGAAGAUGCCAGUUACAACGACCAAGGACAGAUAUCAAUCGUCACCGUCCUCAAAACCAAAUGAGAAAUCACAGAAUGGGACAGAAAAGAGUGAGAUCUGCUGGGAGGGGAGGAAAUGCAUGUUUACACCAAAAUCAACCUGCGCCAUUCCUUUUAGACAUAUGAAUCAUCAUGGAGAUUAAUUGCUGUUAAGAGUUAUGAAUACAACAAAAAUGCUCCCAGCGAAUCAGUGGAAUGGGAACAACCAAGAAAUAAGAUGAAAUCAGAAUAGCAAAUUGGACGUCAAAUGAUUUAUUGGUUCUUAGAUUCUAUGGGCGUAUAGGAGUCAUUCCAAGGAUAUGCCAUCAGCACGAGGAAUGUUUUAUAAUCCCUGCACAAUUGCAACCACCAGCACCAAGAAUAAAUUCAGAUAAACAAGCACCAAUUGUGAACACGACAUUGUAGUCUUUGGGCCAGGAUAACAUAACUCGGGUCAGUUAAAUAUUAGCUCCAAAGAUGACAAAUCUGAAGUUCAACAGAAUUCUGAUAAACAUUUAGUUAGGAAUCCAAGCACAAAACAAUCUCAGGGCGAAUAAGAACGAGGAAUGUUUUAUAAUCACCGCACCACCAAACUAGAUAAAAAAAGCAUCACAAACAAUAGAAGCGCAGAGGUUAAACUGGAAUUUGGGGACAAGUAUAACCGAAUAUCCAUCUAGACAUCAGAAAUAAAAGAAACACAAAGGAAGAACCCAACAUAAGCGAACUUUAUCAAAGAUGCAUAAGAUCUCCAAGGUGAAAAGGGUGUGACAUCAGAGAAACAGCUCAGGCGCAAAUUACCUAUAAAACUCGUCUCAUUUGCAGCAAUAAUGCUCCUACCAGAAACAGCAAACAACUUGAAAAACCUAGUUUUCGAAAGAACAUCAAGAAAAGAAUAAGAAAGCAAGAAACAAUUCAGACUCGUUUGCAAAGAAGAAUUCCAAUAUUUCAACAGCAGAAGCUACUCCCUCCGUCCCACAACAUAAGAGCGUUUUUUAUACUAGUGUAGUGUCAAAAACGCUCUUAUAUUAUGGGACGGAGGGAGUAAAAAACAAAAUCCAUUACUCGGAGGUAAGGUGGUGAAUCCAGCCUCUUCCACAAAUCAGAGAUCCUUGUGAGAGGGUACUUAAUCUCAACAAAGAUGUUAAACAAAUAGUUAGUUUUAUCAGUUAGAAAAACAGAAGCCAACUUGAAAACAGCAAGAUAACUUUCAUGUGAUCAUCAAGAACCUCAGACUUGCCCAUGGAUGUCAUGUGGAUACAGCGCCUCCAGGCAGGUUCAUCCUGUAAACAGGAUCCUGGAGCCAUAUGCGCCUCUAAACGUUGGGCUUAGCAUCAUUGGUAUUUCAGACAAUGUUUCAGAACAAAUUACAAGCUCCUAAUUUAGAUCACAAACACAUGGAAGAUACAAAGGUUUAACAGCUACAUUUAUCAUGAUUUUCCGGGUAUUACCACUGGGAUGACACAGGCACACAGCUUUUAUCAAUUGCAGUGGCUCAGAUCAAUAUAACAGAUUUUUCAGUCAUGAAUUCUCAGAAGCAGAACUGGCAUGUUUGCUGAAAGUGUUUACCAUCACCGCCAUAUCAAGACAAAAAACACACAGAUUAGUUUACACUUUACAGGCAAGAAUACCGUUAUGAGAAGCAGAUCAAAACAAACACAGAAUAUGUAAACUAUUGGCAGCAAAGAUCUAAAAUAUAAUGACAACUCAGUCCCUUAGAUGUUCUUUGACCAUGCAAUCAGUCAAACAUAAGGUUUAAAAAAAAGUAUGAGUGAUAUAGGUUACUAAUUACCCAUAUUCGGUUCUCACUUGUGUUGAAAAACAUAAAGCCCUUUUAACAGGAAUGGGUUUUCCUUUUUAGAUGAUAUAGCAUUUAGAUUCCCUAAUAGACUGCAAAAAAUAAUCAACGAAGCAAUUACCCUGCUCAGGGAUCUCUAACUAUUGUGCAUACACAUCUAGACCAGAGUUUGAAAAGGUUGCAACUGCCUCCAAGUUGCCUCGAAAAACGGAAGUUAGACACUCCACCAAUAUCGUAGGCUCCAACUCCUGAAAAGAAGCCCCAACACUUUCACAUGGUAGAUUCAUCACCAACUCAAUUACCACACUAAGGCGUCAGGGACAAAAAUUUAGAGCUCUUACUGUCUCAGCAAAAUGGAAACUUGCACCAUCAGGUAUGUCAUCUCUAUCCAUGCUUGUUAGAACAACAUAGUCGACUCUGCAAAGAAACACCGUUUAUCAGAUAACUUGUACCCACAACUCCUGAAAAUGAACCUGCUUCAGCAACAUAGGGGGAUACUCGAAUAGCAGUAACAUUCCACCAACAUGACAAUUCAAGUUCAGCAAUUCACACACAUAGUUCAAACCAAAGGUCUGUUUUCCCAGUCAUACCAAUAGACAGUAGGUCAUGUUUCAAAGGGUUACAGGUUUAUGACACGUCGAUAUUCAAGAUACAAAUACAAGUUGCACGGCACUUUCAAAGUUGAGAAACAUUACAUAAAGGGUCACAGCCUGAGUUAUAGGUUUAUGAGAACAGGCAUUUCACAGUAGGCCAUAUAGCCAGGCACAGAUACCUCAGUAACGGUAUUUGGUGGAGUAAUCCUUGGGAGCAAUCACCAGACCACGGCCCUUACGAGCUCCCCUGUAGACAGUCUCCACGAUGUCAACAAACUCUUGCUUGUCUUUCAUUGCCCAGUUGAUCUUGUUGUUGUUUCCUGUCCCGAGAUCAAUCAUGAUGUGCUUGUUGCGGAAGAAGAACAUGACCGUCGACGGGUCGUACAGCUCGUACAUGGUGUUGAAGUCGGGGACCUCGGUGAUGUCGACAAGGUAGAUCACCGCAAAGUUCUUUAUCGUCUCAGCCACCCCUGACAGCACCUCGUCCAUCUGAACAUGAACAGGUGGACAGUCAGAAACUCGCAAUGAAGUCGAACAAGAUACAACAAUGCUAGACUGAUGUAGAACAAAAGGAUAAUACGAAGCUAGACCGCAAGCCUGCAAUCAAUCAAUAUAAUAUAAAACCGAAAAGAAAUUCAACCCUUCGCACAAGGUAAUGAGCCAGUUGGCCGUGGAUAAAAGAAGAAAAGCGCCCCUUCCCUAAUUCCCUCCGACUAUAAUGGCUACUUCUACUUCUCCUUCAACCUCGUCAAGCAACCAGCUGUCGGCACACAUAGAAGAUUUUUAUUCAACAAUAGGAGACAUCCAAAGAUCCCCCUCCACUUGUACCCUACUCCAAAUUGACCAACUAUCCCCGGAGGCUAUGAAACCUAAACCUAGCACGGUCUACGUGCGCCAUCUCUACGGCGAACCCUCGCCCGAUUUCAAGGAACCCAGGC
rnacentral:lncRNA from 1 species